rnacentral:RNase_P_RNA from 1 species
AGAGCACCAUACUUCCUAACGGGAAGCUGUUCGUGAGGGCAGAUGAGCGUAACAGAAAACAACCGCCCCGCAAGGGGUAAGGGUGAAAAGGCGGGGUAAGAGCCCACCGGGUGCCGUGGCAACACGGUGUGCCGUACGCAUUAUGGGUUGCAAGGCCAUGUAUACCGGAUANNNNNNNNNNNNNNNNNNNNCCAUACUUCCUAACGGGAAGCUGUUCGUGAGAGCAGAUGUGCGUAACAGAAAAUAACCGCCCCGCAGGGGGUAAGGGUGAAAAGGUGGGGUAAGAGCCCACCGGAUGUCGUGGCAACACGGUGUGCCGUACGCGUUAUGGGUUGCAAGGCCAUGUAUACCGGAUAAUCAGGGUUGCUCGCCCGAUGCCGGGGGGUAGGCCGCUAAAGGUGGAUGGUGACAUCUCUCCGCAGAUAAAUGACAAACGUCCCGAAAUGUUCGGGAGACAGAACCCGGCUUACAGGCCUGCUGCUUUU